GACGAACGCUGGCGGCGUGCUUAACACAUGCAAGUCGAACGGGAAGGCCCUGCUUUUGUGGGGUGCUCGAGUGGCGAACGGGUGAGUAACACGUGAGUAACCUGCCCUUGACUUUGGGAUAACUUCAGGAAACUGGGGCUAAUACCGGAUAGGAGCUCCUGCUGCAUGGUGGGGGUUGGAAAGUUUCGGCGGUUGGGGAUGGACUCGCGGCUUAUCAGCUUGUUGGUGGGGUAGUGGCUUACCAAGGCUUUGACCGGUAGCCGGCCUGAGAGGGUGACCGGCCACAUUGGGACUGAGAUACGGCCCAGACUCCUACGGGAGGCAGCAGUGGGGAAUAUUGCACAAUGGGCGGAAGCCUGAUGCAGCAACGCCGCGUGCGGGAUGAAGGCCUUCGGGUUGUAAACCGCUUUCGCCUGUGACGAAGCGUGAGUGACGGUAAUGGGUAAAGAAGCACCGGCUAACUACGUG
rnacentral:rRNA from 1 species